rnacentral:lncRNA from 1 species
UGACGGCGAAUCGCCGUGUUUUUCGCCGAGAUUUUACGGCUAUUACUUUGUUUAUAAUCUUUGAUUGAUGGAGGAAAUGCAGUUAGACUUGAUUUUUUGCUUUUAUUGCCUAAUAAUGUGUUUUCUGUAAUAUUUGGUUGGAUGUUUAUUUAGUUGGGCAUUUAUGUGCACAUUGAUUGUUGAUUUUAGGACCUUUUUGUUGGAUGAAUAUCCGACUUAUAUUCAUACCUUUAUGAUUUAUGCUUGCACUUCUUGAGUUUGAGAAAAGUGCAGUGAGCAAAUGUACAUCAUAA